rnacentral:lncRNA from 1 species
UAUGCUAUAAUGUGUUUAAAAAUAUAUUAUAAUGUGUACAUAUUGUUUGAUGGAGUAAAAAGUUAUCAUCUGCAGAAAAAACCCUGACUAAUUUACACGUAAAACAGUACAGUUAGCACUAAUACUAAAUCUACAAAACUAUAAAGUCAUUCAGGUCAUUUCAACACAUUUCAGUUGCAGCUGCAACCGGACCGGCCGCCCAAACAAACAUGCAUCAGACAGGUCUAAUUUUCCAGCUGCAGCCACAGCUGAUUAUAGAAUCUGCAGCCGGAGAGCUCCAGCUCAAACAAACAGGACCUUAGGUCGAGGGCAGGAGAAGCAGAUGCAUGGCGAGCACCACCUUACCCCUCGCCGAGGCACGCCGUCGGCUGGUCGACGUUGUCCUGCAGCCUCCGGCGCAACCGUCCGCAAUCUCUGCUGCCCCGCCGCCUCCCGCCGCCGUCCCGCAGCCUCCCGCCUGCCGCGCCACCUCCCGCGCGCCCGUCGGCGGUCGCCGCCGUCCCGC